UACGGGGGGAGCAAACGUUGUUCGGAAUUACUGGGCGUAAAGGGCGCGUAGGCGGCACUGUUAGUCAGGCGUGAAAUUCCUUGGCUCAACCUGGGGACUGCGCUUGAUACGGCAGAGCUAGAGGAUGGAAGAGGCUCGCGGAAUUCCCAGUGUAGAGGUGAAAUUCGUAGAUAUUGGGAAGAACACCGAUGGCGAAGGCAGCCAUCUGGACCGACACUGACGCUGAGGCGCGAAAGCGUGGGGAGCAAACAGG
rnacentral:rRNA from 1 species